rnacentral:lncRNA from 10 species
CCUAACUCUCAACUCAGCAUUGUGGGAACUAAACAUCACAAUCAGCUUCAGGAGCCUCACUGUUGCCAUGGGUUACAUGAAUUCAAAUCUAAGGAUGGAACCAAAACAGGCCCUUAAAUAUCAGCCCUCGAGUGGGAGGUGAAAUGAAGUGCUCUAACACCUUAAAGGAAAACAGGAGACGCGUGGCAAGGGGGCUUGCAAGUCUUGGCGGAUACCCAGAGAAAUAAGAACGAAUGUCUGAAACUAGACCUGCGCCGUCCAAUGAUAGCCACUGGCCACAGGCGGCCAUUAAGCACUUGAAACAUGGCUAGUCUGAUUUAAGAUGUGCUAUAAGCGUAAAACCCACACCAGAUGG